CAUCCACCACAUUCAAAUAUUUCUUCAAAAAUAAGCAGCACGUGUGAUGAUGCUGGAGGCCACACAUAUUUUUGAAACAUAAUUAUGGCACCAUACGAGCAGAGCUCAUAAAUAUAACAUGAAUUCAGUUUGGAUCAGAUGAGCCGCAACACAUGGACCCUUUUAACAACUCAAAAGCAGUGAUUGUUUAUUAUUAUCAAUGUAGAUCAUGUAGAAUGUAGAUUUAGAUUUAUUUUUCCUGAUGAUUAUUGAUCAGUGUAGAUAUUUACACCGAUUAAUUUAAUUAAUUAAUUUAAACAUUACACAAAUUAUAAAACCAAUCAAACAAGGUGUUCAUUACUACAGUACUUCCGCCGCUCUACAGGGGGCAGCAGUGAGGCGCACGUGUCAAUGAAGAAACAGCAAAUUGAGUAGAUGAAGAGUCAUUUAAACAAAUAUGGCGCCGACUACUGUUUAGUACACCUCCGUAAUGAAAAUCAGACUUCAAACAGCGACUGGACUACGGUUUCGAAAGAAUAUAAAAAGACAGCAUUAGCUUGGAUGUCAUGGAUCCUUGCUAGAAAGAAAACGCUUUUCACCGACGCGGAGACGAUGGAGGAUUGCAUGCUGGCAUCUUAUGAACAACUACAGCAGCAGAAGUUGCAGGAACAGAUCCAAAAAGCUGACCGUGGAGAAAGCGCGGUAUGGAAAGGAUAACGUGUCAAACACAGACCUUGAUGGACGCCCCAGCAAAGCGACUCAGUUGUUUGAUGUGCUGCCCUUUCUUUCCAAUGAUGGCUCCCACCGCCUGUGCUGGUAUGUACACGUGCACCGUCUCCUGCUCCGGAGCCUGACGACAUAUACGCACAAACAGGAAGUGCUUUACACAACAGUUCAACAGCCGUCUA